ACGCUCGACACCUACGGGAGGCAGCAGUGGGGAAUAUUGCACAAUGGGGGAAACCCUGAUGCAGCAACGCCGCGUGAAGGAAGACGGUUUUCGGAUUGUAAACUUCUGUUCUUAGUGAAGAUAGUGACGGUAGCUAAGGAGCAAGCCACGGCUAACUACGUACCAGCAGCCGCGGUAAUCUGAGCGGGCUGGCAAGGC
rnacentral:rRNA from 1 species